rnacentral:sRNA from 1 species
CAUGAUAAAUUUGUUGUGGGCAAAUAUUAUGAAUAUGUGUAUCUAUACCACCGGCAGUAGCAAUCAGGUGAGCACCAUUAUGCACUUCGGUAGCCGCACCGAUAAUCAUAUUUGGGGUAACCCCAUCCAUUGUAUCGGGAUUACCGGCUUGGCCUAUCCCAACAAUUUUACCGUCACGAAUACCAAUAUCGGCUUUAAUAAUGCCGCUAUGAUCAAUAAUAAGUACAUUGGUAAUGGCAAAGUCGAGUACAUUAUUAUUAGUGCGUGGCUCAGUAGCAGAUUGCG